rnacentral:rRNA from 1 species
AGUUGCUCAUCCGGGGAUUUCCCCGGUGCACUCUUCUGUGGGCAGGCCAGCAUCAGUUCGGGCGGUUGGAGAAAGACCUGUGUCAUGUAGCUGUUCUCGGGCAGUGUUAUAGGGCAGGUGGAAUGCAACCAGCCUGAACUGAGGUCCGCGCUUUUGCUAGGAUGCUGGCGUAAUGGCUGUAAGCGGCCCGUCUUGAAACACGGACCAAGGAGUCUAACAUCUAUGCGAGUGUUUGGGUGUCAAGCCCGAGCGCGUAAUGAAAGUGAACGGAGGUGGGAACCCCUCGGGGUGCACCAUCGACCGAUCCUGAUGUCUUCGGAUGGAUUUGAGUAAGAGCAUAGCUGUUGGGACCCGAAAGAUGGUGAACUAUGCCUGAAUAGGGUGAAGCCAGAGGAAACUCUGGUGGAGGCUCGCAGCGGUUCUGACGUGCAAAUCGAUCGUCAAAUUUGGGCAUAGGGGCGAAAGACUAAUCGAACUAUCUAGUAGCUGGUUCCUGCCGAAGUUUCCCUCAGGAUAGCAGUAACGUUUUCAGUUUUAUGAGGUAAAGCGAAUGAUUAGAGGCCUGGGGGUUGAAACAACCUUCACCUAUUCUCAAACUUUAAAUAUGUAAGAAGUCCUUGUUUCUUAAUUGAACGUGGACAUUUGAAUGUAUCGUUACUAGUGGGCCAUUUUUGGUAAGCAGAACUGGCGAUGCGGGAUGAACCGAACGCGGGGUUAAGGUGCCAGAAUGCACGCUCAUCAGACACCACAAAAGGUGUUAGUUCAUCUAG